UGUAGGAGUGAGCCUGCUCGCGAUUCGGUGGCACAUCUGGCAUUGAUGUGUCAGACAAGACGCCAUCGCGAGCAGGCUCACUCCUACA
rnacentral:misc_RNA from 1 species